rnacentral:tRNA from 1 species
GGUUCUAUGGUGUAAUGGUUAGCCCUCUGGACUCUAUAUCAAGUGAUCCGAGUUCAAAUAUCAGUUGGACCU